rnacentral:rRNA from 1 species
UACAGAGGUGGCAAGCGUUGUUCGGAAUUACUGGGCGUAAAGGGCGCGUAGGCGGUUCGUUAAGUCCUGUGUGAAAUCCCCCGGCUCAACUGGGGAACUGCACAGGAAACUAGCGGGCUUGAGUUCGGGAGAGGGAAGCGGAAUUCCGGGUGUAGCGGUGAAAUGCGUAGAUAUCCGGAGGAACACCGGUGGCGAAGGCGGCUUCCUGGACCGACACUGACGCUGAGGCGCGAUAGCGUGGGGAUCAAACAGG